rnacentral:rRNA from 1 species
UGUUGCCUACGGGACGCAGCAGUGGGGGAUAUUGCACAAUGGGGGAAACCCUGAUGCAGCGACGCCGCGUGAGUGAAGAAGUAUUUCGGCAUGUAAAGCUCUAUCAGCAGGAACGAGACAAGACGGUACCUGACUAAGAAGCCCCGGCUAACUACGUGCCAGCAGCCGCGGUAAUACGUAGGGGGCAAGCGUUAUCCGGAAUCACUGGGUGUAAAGGGAGCGUAGACGGCUGUGCAAGCCUGAAGUGAAAGGCGGGGGCC